AAAUUAGCUAUCCCAGCGAGAGUCGGCCGAGUUGGACUGGACGCGAGAUUCUCCGGCGAGCGCGCGCGCACACACGACACGAUCCCGCGGCGCGCUCGCGUCCACGCCCUCUCGCCACACAUCCACAGGCGACGCCGCGGUUAAAAAACCCUCCGCUUCCGCCACGCUCUGCGGUGUUGCCUGUGUUGGUGGUGGUGGUGGUAGGCUAGGAGGAGGAGGAGGAGGAGGAGGAGAGUGGUGAUGGCGGCGAUGGCGGCGGCCGUGGCCGCGUCCCCCUCCCCCGNNN
rnacentral:lncRNA from 1 species